AAGGAAGAAAGCAUCUUAGAGGAGUGCUAAUUUUUCUAAGCCAUGGUUGAACUCCAUGGGUUCCUUA
rnacentral:tRNA from 1 species